rnacentral:rRNA from 1 species
AAUAGAUACCCCGGUAGUCCACCCCGUAAACGUUGGGAACUAGUUGUGGGGUCCUUUCCACGGAUUCCGUGACGCAGCUAACGCAUUAAGUUCCCCGCCUGGGGAGUACGGCCGCAAGGCUAAAACUCAAAGGAAUUGACGGGGACCCGCACAAGCGGCGGAGCAUGCGGAUUAAUUCGAUGCAACGCGAAGAACCUUACCAAGGCUUGACAUACACCAGAACACCCUAGAAAUAGGGGACUCUUUGGACACUGGUGAACAGGUGGUGCAUGGUUGUCGUCAGCUCGUGUCGUGAGAUGUUGGGUUAAGUCCCGCAACGAGCGCAACCCUCGUUCUAUGUUGCCAGCGCGUAAUGGUGGGAACUCAUGGGAUACUGCCGGGGUCAACUCGGAGGAAGGUGGGGAUGACGUCAAAUCAUCAUGCCCCUUAUGUCUUGGGCUUCACGCAUGCUACAAUGGCCGGUACAAAGGGCUGCAAUACCGUGAGGUGGAGCGAAUCCCAAAAAGCCGGUCCCAGUUCGGAUUGAGGUCUGCAACUCGACCUCAUG